rnacentral:rRNA from 1 species
UACGUAGGUGGCAAGCGUUGUCCGGAAUUAUUGGGCGUAAAGCGCGCGCAGGCGGUCUUUUAAGUCUGAUGUGAAAGCCCCCGGCUCAACCGGGGAGGGUCAUUGGAAACUGGGAGACUUGAGUGCAGAAGAGAAGAGUGGAAUUCCACGUGUAGCGGUGAAAUGCGUAGAGAUGUGGAGGAACACCAGUGGCGAAGGCGACUCUUUGGACAGAGUCUGACGCUGAGGCGCGAAAGCUAGGGGAGCAAACAGG